rnacentral:piRNA from 1 species
UCGCUAUGAUGAAGGCUAUGUUGGUAGGGA